rnacentral:rRNA from 1 species
UGUUUGAUGUUCUAACGUUGGCCCCUGAUCGGGGUUGCGGACAGUGUCUGGUGGGUAGUUUGACUGGGGCGGUCUCCUCCUAAAGAGUAACGGAGGAGCACGAAGGUUGGCUAAUCCUGGUCGGACAUCAGGAGGUUAGUGCAAUGGCAUAAGCCAGCUUGACUGCGAGCGUGACGGCGCGAGCAGGUGCGAAAGCAGGUCAUAGUGAUCCGGUGGUUCUGAAUGGAAGGGCCAUCGCUCAACGGAUAAAAGGUACUCCGGGGAUAACAGGCUGAUACCGCCCAAGAGUUCAUAUCGACGGCGGUGUUUGGCACCUCGAUGUCGGCUCAUCACAUCCUGGGGCUGAAGUAGGUCCCAAGGGUAUGGCUGUUCGCCAUUUAAAGUGGUACGCGAGCUGGGUUUAGAACGUCGUGAGACAGUUCGGUCCCUAUCUGCCGUGGGCGCUGGAGAACUGAGGGGGGCUGCUCCUAGUACGAGAGGACCGGAGUGGACGCAUCACUGGUGUUCGGGUUGUCAUGCCAAUGGCACUGCCCGGUAGCUAAAUGCGGAAGAGAUAAGUGCUGAAAGCAUCUAAGCACGAAACUUGCCCCGAGAUGAGUUCUCCCUGACUCCUUGAGAGUCCUGAAGGAACGUUGAAGACGACGACGUUGAUAGGCCGGGUGUGUAAGCGCAGCGAUGCGUUGAGCUAACCGGUACUAAUGAACCGUGAG